UUUUGCGAUGUGUUCCUAAUAUGUCAAACAAAUGUAUUGGGAACAUUUUGCAUUCGU
ncrna:Tupaia chinensis (Chinese tree shrew) microRNA tch-mir-450a precursor (tch-mir-450a-2)